GGGUUGUGAGGUUAAGCGACUAAGCGUACACGGUGGAUGCCCUGGCAGUCAGAGGCGAUGAAGGGCGUGCUAAUCUGCGAUAAGCGCCGGUAAGGUGAUAUGAACCGUUAUAACCGGCGAUACCCGAAUGGGGAAACCCAGUGUGACUCGUCACACUAUCAUUAACUGAAUCCAUAGGUUAAUGAGGCGAACCGGGGGAACUGAAACAUCUAAGUACCCCGAGGAAAAUAAAUCAACCGAGAUUCCCCCAGUAGCGGCGAGCGAACGGGGAGGAGCCCAGAGCCUGAAUCAGCAUGUGUGUUAGUGGAAGCGUCUGGAAAGGCGCGCGAUACAGGGUGACAGCCCCGUACACAAAAGCGCAUGUGCUGUGAGCUCGAUGAGUAGGGCGGGACACGUGGUAUCCUGUCUGAAUAUGGGGGGACCAUCCUCCAAGGCUAAAUACUCCUGACUGACCGAUAGUGAACCAGUACCGUGAGGGAAAGGCGAAAAGAACCCCGGCGAGGGGAGUGAAAAAGAACCUGAAACCGUGUACGUACAAGCAGUGGGAGCCCCACCACCAAAGCAUUCUCUGGUGUUGAAGGCCCUGCAAAGCAGCAUCGCGGUGGCGGAGCGUCGUUUGCGACGCCCAACACACAAAACAAGCGGUGAGUGCUUUGGGGUGGGGUGACUGCGUACCUUUUGUAUAAUGGGUCAGCGACUUAUAUUCUGUAGCAAGGUUAACCGAAUAGGGGAGCCGGAGGGAAACCGAGUCUUAAUUGGGCGUUAAGUUGCAGGGUAUAGACCCGAAACCCGGUGAUCUAGCCAUGGGCAGGUUGAAGGUUGGGUAACACUAACUGGAGGACCGAACCGACUAAUGUUGAAAAAUUAGCGGAUGACCUGUGGCUGGGGGUGAAAGGCCAAUCAAACCGGGAGAUAGCUGGUUCUCCCCGAAAGCUAUUUAGGUAGCGCCUCGUGAAUUCAUCUCCGGGGGUAGAGCACUGUUUCGGCUAGGGGGUCAUCCCGACUUACCAACCCGAUGCAAACUGCGAAUACCGGAGAAUGUUAUCACGGGAGACACACGGCGGGUGCUAACGUCCGUCGUGAAGAGGGAAACAACCCAGACCGCCAGCUAAGGUCCCAAAGUCAUGGUUAAGU
rnacentral:rRNA from 1 species